ACGAAGGAUUUGGGAGUGCUCGAAAGAGAACCUGCACACAGGUGCUGCAUGGCUGUCGUCAGCUCGUGUCGUGAGAUGUUGGGUUAAGUCCCGCAACGAGCGCAACCCUUGCCAUUAGUUGCUACAUUCAGUUGGGCACUCUAAUGAGACUGCCGGUGACAAACCGGAGGAAGGUGGGGAUGACGUCAAGUCCUCAUGGCCCUUAUAGGUGGGGCUACACACGUCAUACAAUGGAUGGUACAAAGGGUCGCCAACCCGCGAGGGGGAGCCAAUCCCAUAAAGCCAUUCGUAGUCCGGAUCGCAGUCUGCAACUCGACUGCGUGAAGUCGGAAUCGCUAGUAAUCGUGGAUCAGAAUGUCACGGUGAAUACGUUCCCGGGUCUU
rnacentral:rRNA from 1 species